AGUGAACGCUGGCGGUAGGCCUAACACAUGCAAGUCGAACGGCAGCACAGUAAGAGCUUGCUCUUACGGGUGGCGAGUGGCGGACGGGUGAGGAAUACAUCGGAAUCUACUUUUUCGUGGGGGAUAACGUAGGGAAACUUACGCUAAUACCGCAUACGACCUACGGGUGAAAGCAGGGGAUCUUCGGACCUUGCGCGAUUGAAUGAGCCGAUGUCGGAUUAGCUAGUUGGCGGGGUAAAGGCCCACCAAGGCGACGAUCCGUAGCUGGUCUGAGAGGAUGAUCAGCCACACGGGAACUGAGACACGGUCCAGACUCCUACGGGAGGCAGCAGUGGGAAAUAUUGGACAAUGGGCGCAAGCCUGAUCCAGCCAUACCGCGUGGGUGAAGAAGGCCUUCGGGUUGUAAAGCCCUUUUGUUGGGAAAGAAAAGCAGCAGGUUAAUACCCCGCUGUUCUGACGGUACCCAAAGAAUAAGCACCGGCUAACUUCGU
rnacentral:rRNA from 1 species